rnacentral:rRNA from 1 species
GGGGAAUAUUGCACAAUGGGCGCAAGCCUGAUGCAGCCAUGCCGCGUGUGUGAAGAAGGCCUUCGGGUUGUAAAGCACUUUCAGCGAGGAGGAAGGCGUUAAGGUUAAUAACCUUAGCGAUUGACGUUACUCGCAGAAGAAGCACCGGCUAACUCCGUGCCAGCAGCCGCGGUAAUACGGAGGGUGCAAGCGUUAAUCGGAAUUACUGGGCGUAAAGCGCACGCAGGCGGUUUGUUAAGUCAGAUGUGAAAUCCCCGAGCUUAACUUGGGAACUGCAUUUGAAACUGGCAAGCUAGAGUCUUGUAGAGGGGGGUAGAAUUCCAGGUGUAGCGGUGAAAUGCGUAGAGAUCUGGAGGAAUACCGGUGGCGAAGGCGGCCCCCUGGACAAAGACUGACGCUCAGGUGCGAAAGCGUGGGGCAGCAAACAGGAUUAGAUACCCUGGUAGUCCAGCGCCAGUAAACGAUGAGUACUAGGUGUA